AUUUUGUUGUGAAAUUCACAAUCCAUGUCCAAAAGUGCUUGUUUUACUAUACAGCAAAGAAGGAGAAAUUAUACCGGGCCGACACCUAUAUGGCAAAUUCAGAAAGUGGAAUAUCUCAGCAACCACAGGGUUUACAGUCAUGAAACUUCACACACUAGUAGCUGAUAACAAUACAAAUCAGUGGCUAAAAGGAUAUUUCCAAGGCGAUGAAUUCCAUAUGUCAGAAGGAAAUUUAGAAUCGUACAACCAGUCAGCAGCUACCCAUAAACCAGACCAACCUAUUAAGUCGAGCGGGCAGAAGCUGUGAUUCCCAGUGUAACACCGCAGAAUGACGGCUAGUUUUCGGAUUACAUUUCUGUGCGGAAGGAUUAAAAAACUACACCAGACUGGUGGCCAUGACAGAUGUCAGUGGGAAAUUUAAACAUGGACUAGAUACUUUGAUGUGUAGCAAAAAAGUUCAUCGUUGAUGGUGGUGUUUUUCUGUGAUAUAUUGACUCGGAUAAUAUUACUCUUCAGAAAUACAGAGCUGUCAAUGCUGCAAUUUUGUUGUGAAAUUCACAAUCCAUGUCCAAAAGUGCUUGUUUUACU